GGCAGUGAAAGGGACAACACUGCAGACUUUUCUGACACUGGACAACUGCACCACCAGAGUUGUGCCAGAGCAGGCAAAGAACAAGAGGUUAUGAAGGUUAUAUAAAAUAAAAAACAAUAUCAGCUAGUAAGGAAACAACUCCAGAAAUAGAGGGAGAAGACACCAGAUUCCUGAACAUAGUACAUGCCAAAGAUGCUGCAGGAAGAGACAGCAACAUCAUGUUAAAGAAAACGCUCCCGGAAGCUUUCAGUGGAAGUCACUGCAGAGAGUGGAAAAAAGAAAAGAGAAAGAAAAACCAAAGUAUAUAAGCUCA